rnacentral:rRNA from 1 species
AACCUGGUUGAUCCUGCCAGUAGGUCAUAUGCUUGUCUCAAAGACUAAGCCAUGCAUGUCUAAGUAUAAGUAUUAUACAGCGAAACUGCGAAUGGCUCAUUAAAACAGUUAUAGUUUAUUUGAUAAUCGAAUUUACAUGGAUAACCGUGGUAACUCUAGAGCUAAUACAUGCUGGUGUGCCCGACUUUUGUGGAAGGGCGGUAUUUAUUAGAUAACAAGCCAAUAUUCCUCUGGUCUAUUGUGGUGACUCAUAAUAACUGAUCGAAUCGCAAGGCCUAUGGCCGCGGUAAGUCAUUCAAGUUUCUGCCCCAUCAGCUUUCGAUGGUAGUGUAUUGGACUACCAUGGCGUUUACGGGUAACGGAGGAUUAGGGUUCGAUUCCGGAGAGGGAGCCUGAGAAACGGCUACCACAUCUAAGGAAGGCAGCAGGCGCGUAAAUUACCCAAUCCUGACUCAGGGAGGUAGUGACAAGAAAUAACGGACCGGGGCCUUACGGCUUCGGGAUUGCAAUGAGCCGAAUUUACACCCCUUAGCGAAGAUCGAUUGGAGGGCAAGUCUGGUGCCAGCAGCCGCGGUAAUUCCAGCUCCAAUAGC